AGAAAUUGAGAGGUUUCUUUUAAUCUAGAGUAGAGAUUAAAAGAGGCAAAGUGAAGCUUACACGGGAAGAGGUAUGCCUGCUGAAAGAGAAAGUUUGGUCAGGGAUUAUGAGGACUAAGGAGUGGAAUAAUGCUAGAAUGACUAGACUCAUUUGGAACCUUCCACAAAUAGGUGAGAUGUCGAUUUGGGCUAGCUAGAUGGAGACUCACCAUCUAAGGAGGAAACGUUUUGGGUGAUUGAUAUCCCACAUGAUUGCACAUGGACUUGGAGAUGUUUGUUAAAGUUGAGGGAGAAGGUGAGGCGUAACUUUCAAAAAUAUUAUAGGUGAUGGUUAGAAUACGCUCCGUUGAUUUGAGAAUUGGCAUAUAUGCUAUAUGUCCCUAUUGUUGAGAAAUUAGAUCGGAGAGUAGUGUAUGAUUUGGGGAUCGAUAAAUAUGCUAAAGUGAGACUGUGGAUGGGGGAGAAUGGAGAUGGCCUCCAGCAAACGCGAGGGUGUUAAUGAUGAUUAGGCGCUCAGAAGGAAGGAAACCAUCUAUGGAAAGGGACAAUGUCAUUUUGAUGUCCACCUCAUUCAGGAACUUUAGCAUUCACUUGGCUUAGAGGGAAAAGUAAUAAGGUACGGGAUGGUAUGCCAAAAGCAUAUCCCCUGUUAUACUUUGAUCAUUUGGAUGGCAAUUAAAGGUAAACUCUUAGCUAGAGACAAACUUUUAAGGUACGGGGUAGUAUCUAAUGCAACUUAUUGCUCGUUUAAUAAAGAAGUUGAAACCAUUGACCACUCGUUCUUUGAUUGUGAGUUUAGUAAGGAUAUUCAGAGGAAAAUCUUGAUUUGUUGGAUCAAAAGUAUAGGAAGGGGAAACAAUUUGAAGAAUAUUUUAGGAAGGAUGAGUUUGGGAGCCAUAGUGUAUUGGUUAUGGAGAGAAAGAAACAAUAGAGUGCUCUCAAAAGUUACGAAUGAAAAGGAGAGGAUUUUGUUGUUAACUGAAAGAGCGGCUAAUGAUAAGGCCACGGAGCUUACUAAUAUGGUUAAUACCCAUGAAAAUACACACUUAGAUAUCAUUGGGGACUUCCCUAUUGCAUUUUUAAGGACCAACGGCGGGAGAGGCGAAGGCUGUGGAAGAAGGGGGAGGUGUUUUUUUUUUUUUUUUAUAUAUUCUAACAGUGUGUUUUAACAGGUGUGGAUCAAUUUCUUGGGUCAAGCUUGUAAAAAUCUAGAUGGCAGAGGCGAGAAGUGGUUUCCUCGGAGGAGAUAGGGGACAUGCAAAGCCUCCUUGCGGUUCUUUCCUUUUUUCCUCUAAGCUAUGAGAGUUUUUUCCAGCAAAAUGUGCGAGCACAUCUCACCGUUUUGCAAUUUGGCUCUCGGCUGUCAGCUAUUCUAAACCGUGCUGAUUCAACCAAGAGUAGCAUGCUCUUAAGUAGGUCCCUUGAUGGAUGGAGAGGUGAGAGUUGUGUUGGCUGAAGUGUCUAGCGGUGGGGCGUAGUUGUCAUGCAGCUCUUGGUUUUUGGAACCUCAAAUAGCUUUAAUUUGUAGUGUAAAUGCCAUUUUUGGGAUAUUGUUUUGUUGUAGUGGUUAGGCUUAUAAAAUUGUCGGAUUAUCUUGUACUCUAUCUCACUUUGCUAGAGAUAGAAUUACAAGGUAUGCUUUAUUUUGAUUGUCGGGUAUAAUAACGUGGGUAGCUUGUCUAUUCGGGGCAUUGUCCUAAGAGAGUGGUCUGGUAUAUAGGCUGGAGUGUGUAGCUUGUUUUCUCUUCUUUCAGUACAUACAUUUACUUUUAGAGUAUAAAUUGAAAUGUAAUUUUUGUUACGUAGCUUUUUGUCAUUUCUAAUAAAACAUAAGAGGUUAUAU